GACGAACGCUGGCGGCGUGCCUAAUACAUGCAAGUAGAACGCUGAAGGAGGGGCUUGCUCUUCUGGAUGAGUUGCGAACGGGUGAGUAACGCGUAGGUAACCUGCCUGGUAGCGGGGGAUAACUAUUGGAAACGAUAGCUAAUACCGCAUAAGAGUAGAUGUUGCAUGACAUUUGCUUAAAAGGUGCAAUUGCAUCACUACCAGAUGGACCUGCGUUGUAUUAGCUAGUUGGUGGGGUAACGGCUCACCAAGGCGACGAUACAUAGCCGACCUGAGAGGGGGAUCGGCCACACUGGGACUGAGACACGGCCCAGACUCCUACGGGAGGCAGCAGUAGGGAAUCUUCGGCAAUGGACGGAAGUCUGACCGAGCAACGCCGCGGGAGUGAAGAAGGUUUUCGGAUCGUAAAGCUCUGUUGUAAGAGAAGAACGAGUGUGAGAGUGGAAAGUUCACACUGUGACGGUAUCUUACCAGAAAGGGACGGCUAACUACGUG
rnacentral:rRNA from 1 species